UACGUAGGGGGCAAGCGUUGUCCGGAUUUAUUGGGCGUAAAGAGCGUGUAGGCGGCCAGACAGGUCCGUUGUGAAAACUCGAGGCUCAACCUCGAGAUGUCGAUGGAAACCGUCUGGCUAGAGUCCGGAAGAGGAGUGUGGAAUUCCUGGUGUAGCGGUGAAAAUGCGCAGAUAUCAGGAAGAACACCUAUGGCGAAGGCGGCGAGCUGGUCCAUUACUGACGCUGAGGCGCGACAGCGUGGGGGAGCAAACAGG
rnacentral:rRNA from 1 species